ACAGAAUCCUGAAGAUUUCUGAAGUUUCCCAGAAACCAUCAAGAAGGGAGCGAGAGAUGAACUAAUGAACCCCUCUGAGGCUUAUCCCCUCCCUCAACUGGAAGCAGCCCACUUCCCUUUCCCUAUCUAUUCAAGAGCUCUGAGCUCACUUUUAUUUGAGAAAGAAUAACUGGAAUAUAAUUCAAGACCCAAAAGGACAUGCAAGGAAUGCACUCACUAAGAAGUGGAUAUUAACAAAACAAUAACAACAACAGAAAGAAAGAAAGAAAGAAAGAAAGAAAGAAAGAAAGAAAGGAAGGAAGGAAGGAAGAAAGAAAAAAAAGAUAGGAAGGAAGGAAGGAAGGAAGAAAAGUACAGAAUACCCAAGCUACAGUCCACAGAACUCAAAAAGGUCAACAGGCUGAAGUGCCCAAGUGAGGACACCUUAGUCCCACUUGAGAGGGAAAAGAAAGCAAUCGCAAUUGGGAAGGGGUGGAAAGACAUGGGAGGAAAGUGAAUGGGUAGGGGAGUAGGGAAGAGUGGGGAGCCUGAUCUGGUAUUGUGUGAAGAAAAACGACUGAAGCCCUGAGAGCCAACAGAAAGAAGAGAAACAGGAAAUCUUGAGAGGUAGGAGGUUGUAUGGACCUCCAGAGUGCACCAGAGACCUGGUAGGUGAAAGACCCUUAGGACUCAAAGUGAGGGACUUUAGAUGAAAUGUCCAACAGUAGGGAGAAGUAACUUAUAGAGCCCACCUCCAGCAGGAAGUCAGGCAUCAAGUGAGGGAAGUGGUUGCCAUCCCACAGUCAAAACUCUGAUCCAUAAUUGUUCCUGUCUGAAAGAAUUACAGGGAUGGAAAUGGAGAGGAGCCUGAGAAAAAGAAGGUCCAGUGACAGGCCCAAAGUGGAAUCCAGCUCAUGGGGAAGUUCCAAGGCCUAACACCAUUUCUGAGGCUAUGGAGCGGUCACAAAAAGGGACAUAAGACCAAUUUCAAUGGCAAUAUGAAUUUCUGAAAUUCUUUCAGGCAAACUGUUCUCAGAUUACCAUCCUUUCUUUGAGAGCCCUCACAUGUCAAGUAAAAUCAAAAUGUGAAAUUCACUUUCUUUAUCUAUUCCCCUAACAUGAUCCUUCAUUCUCUACCAGUCAACUAUACAUCAAGCCAUAUAAUGGACCUAAACAUGGCAUUUUAGAUCAAUUUUAUAGAAAUAUCUUUUAAAGUUAGUACUGGCUAGUUUUACACUUCACAUACUAGACUCAUCAGAGAGAAGGAAGCCUCCAUAAGAUCAGGCUGUAAGGCAAGCUUAUAAACCAUUUUGUUUAUUAGCGACUUA
rnacentral:lncRNA from 1 species